rnacentral:tRNA from 1 species
UCCCUGGAGGACUAGUGGUUAGGCCAUGGUGCUCUCACCACCACGGCCCGGGUUCGAUUCCCAGGCAGGGAA